CGAGAACGCUUCAGCUUGCUGAAGUUAGUAAAGUGGCGCGACGGGUGAGUAUCGCGUGGGUAAUCUACCUCCAAGUUGGGGAUAACAUUGCGAAAGCGAUGCUAAUACCGAAUGACAUCUCAAUCACUCCGGUCUUUGAGAUCAAAGGUGGCCUCUCCAUGGAAGCUACUGUUUGGAGAUGAGCCCGCGUACCAUUAGCUUGUUGGUAGGGUAAUGGCCUACCAAGGCGACGAUGGUUAGCGUGGUCUGAGAGGAUGAUCAGCCACACUGGAACUGACACACGGUCCAGACUCCUACGGGAGGCAGCAGUGAGGUAAUUUUGCGCAAUGGGGAAACCCUGACGCAGCAACGCCGCGUGAGUGAUGAAGGCUCUCGGGUCGUAAAGCUCUGUCAAGUGAGAAGAACCUGCCUUUUGCUAAUAUCACUGGGCACUGACGGUAUCACUGAAGGAAGCACCGGCUAACUCCGUG
rnacentral:rRNA from 1 species